rnacentral:rRNA from 1 species
GUAACACGUGGGCAAUCUGCCCUUCACUCUGGGACAAGCCCUGGAAACGGGGUCUAAUACCGGAUACUGACCUGCCAAGGCAUCUUGGCGGGUCGAAAGCUCCGGCGGUGAAGGAUGAGCCCGCGGCCUAUCAGCUUGUUGGUGAGGUAAUGGCUCACCAAGGCGACGACGGGUAGCCGGCCUGAGAGGGCGACCGGCCACACUGGGACUGAGACACGGCCCAGACUCCUACGGGAGGCAGCAGUGGGGAAUAUUGCACAAUGGGCGAAAGCCUGAUGCAGCGACGCCGCGUGAGGGAUGACGGCCUUCGGGUUGUAAACCUCUUUCAGCAGGGAAGAAGCGAAAGUGACGGUACCUGCAGAAGAAGCGCCGGCUAACUACGUGCCAGCAGCCGCGGUAAUACGUAGGGCGCAAGCGUUGUCCGGAAUUAUUGGGCGUAAAGAGCUCGUAGGCGGCUUGUCACGUCGGUUGUGAAAGCCCGGGGCUUAACCCCGGGUCUGCAGUCGAUACGGGCAGGCUAGAGUUCGGUAGGGGAGAUCGGAAUUCCUGGUGUAGCGGUGAAAUGCGCAGAUAUCAGGAGGAACACCGGUGGCGAAGGCGGAUCUCUGGGCCGAUACUGACGCUGAGGAGCGAAAGCGUGGGGAG